GGUGAUAUAGUAUAGUGGUUAGUACGGAUCGUUGUGGCUUGCUCAUCUGGGCAUAACAACUUCCGAUCAGACCCCGGUUCGAUUCCGGGUAUCGCCA